CAUCUGGCCCGCAGGAGCUGGGGGUCUCCUUCGGGGAGUGCAGCGCUGCACUGGGACACAACAUCCUGGAACCCAUGGUGAGCCUGGCCCGGUUGCUGAAGGUGCAGGAGGACCGGCUGAGGGGCUCGCUGGUGAAGGUGGCCCCCGGGGGGCCCCCCAAGAAAGGCCGCUGCUGCUUCUGACCCCCCCAUCACGCCUUGGGGCUCCCUGAUCUCAGCUCUGCCGCCCUUCUGAGUCCAGUGAGGGCAGGCAGGACAGGCCCCCGGAAUCCCGGCCGAGAUCUCGGGCAGGGGUGCGUGGCUGCGGCCUUGUGCCAGCCAGGGAGGACUUCACUGAGCAAAUAAGGCUGGGAGUGAGGAUGGGCUUGGGGAGGUGUGGGUGGUAAAUUCUCCAGGAAAGGAAAAGCCUAGAAAAACAACAGAAGGGAAAUAAACCAAAUGACUGCCGCACGUACAAUUAUCGGGUGAAGGUGGGUGAUCUCUUCCUUUGUGCUUAUUAAAAAAAUGUUCUGCUUU